CCUACGGGCGGCAGCAGUGAGGAAUAUUGGUCAAUGGACGAGAGUCUGAACCAGCCAAGUAGCGUGAAGGAUGACUGCUCUAUGGGUUGUAAACUUCUUUUAUAUGGGAAUAAAACGUUCCACGUGUGGGAUUUUGUAUGUACCAUAUGAAUAAGGAUCGGCUAACUCCGUGCCAGCAGCCGCGGUAAUACGGAGGAUCCGAGCGUUAUCCGGAUUUAUUGGGUUUAAAGGGAGCGUAGGUGGAUUGUUAAGUCAGUUGUGAAAGUUUGCGGCUCAACCGUAAAAUUGCAGUUGAAACUGGCAGUCUUGAGUACAGUAGAGGUGGGCGGAAUUCGUGGUGUAGCGGUGAAAUGCUUAGAUAUCACGAAGAACUCCGAUUGCGAAGGCAGUUCACUGGACUGCAACUGACACUGAGGCUCGAAAGUGUGGGUAUCAAACAGGAUUAGAUACCCCUGUAGUC
rnacentral:rRNA from 1 species